rnacentral:misc_RNA from 1 species
UACUUCAGACAUUGUAGGCCUGAGUGCAGGUGAAGAAUUAGCGCAUAGCAAUGCUACUUUUGCCAUUCUGACUAUUUCUUCCUUCUUGAACUUGGACCCCAAUCUGGGAUCAAUCAGCUCCAUUAGGUUUCCCCUUUGUUGCAAAAAGAGAGCCCAAUCCAGGAGAGAGACAAAAUUUUCAUCUGGUCUGUAUUUCAUGUUGCUUUUCCCAACAAAAAUCUCCAAUGCAACAAUCCCAAAACUGUAUACAUCUGCCUUAUAGGUUAAGUAACCCCAUAAUGCAUAUUCCGGUGCCAUGUAACCUCUACACAAUAAAAUGCAGUUGUAUAACAUUUGCCUCACUAAAAUAAGCAAUAAAAACAAUUUGAAUUGAAGAAACAAAAAUAUGCUACUAGAAAAGUAUGCAACAAAGGUUAGUGAAAGGAUGAAAAAAUUAGAAGAAACAAAGGGUGGCUCACAUAGUUCCAGCAACUCUGGUGCUGAUGUGGGUAUUCUCUUCUUCAUCAAGCUUGGCCAAACCAAAAUCAGAAAUCUUAGGGUUUAGGUCCCUAUCAAGAAGUAUAUUAGCAGCUUUGAUGUCUCUAUGAACAAUUUUCAAAGCAGAUUCUUCAUGCAGAAAAGCCAGACCUUUUGCUAUGCCAACACAAAUCCUUUGCCUUGUCUGCCAGUCCAUUUUCAACUGGCUUUCCUCUUUGCCAAACAAAGCAUGUGCAAGGCUAUUGUUUUCCAUGUAUUCAUAUACCAACAAUAAUUGAUUCCCUUCAACACAGCAUCCAUACAAUCUAACAAGAUUUGGAUGUUGUAAAGCAGAAAUCAUGCCUAUUUCAUUCAAAAAUUCUCGAUGUCCCUGUUUUGAUUUGGAAGAAAGCUGCUUAACAGCAACUAUAGUACCAUCCGAUAGUGUUCCCUUGUAGACUGAUCCAAAACCGCCUUGUCCAAUCUUGUUAGCAGGAUCAAAGUUGUUAGUA